GCGGCGGGGGAAACCCGAGCUCCCAACAAAACGGUUCCAUCUUUGGCUAGGCCUUUGGUAUUUCAAGGCGCUGCCGGUGGGGAGAGAUGCCGCGUGCCUGAGAGGCUCUGGGAGGCACCAAAGAAGGCCCAGAGAGGUUUAACAACUUCCUCAGAAUCACACAGCUUCCAAAUGGUUGGGUUGGGUUUACAUUUAGGCGGUCUUGCUCCAGAGCCAGUGCUCCUAACCUUUGCAAGCCACGAACCUCAAGAAAGUGGAGAAGGAAACGCUGGGAAAUCUGGAAGUCAGACAUGGCAAAGAGCUAAUGCUGGCAGCUGUUGGGAUGUCCUCUUCCAGGAAUGGUGAUGAGUUUCCCUGGAUCCAGCCCUGGCUUGGCUGAGGUCCUUGGAACAGGAGAAAGGGUUGGAAAACAAAGAUCACUUUUCUCUGGCCAAAUGGAAUCACCCAACAAAGUACCUUCCUGAUGGGCCAGCUAUUUCAGUUGCUGACCUCCAUAACAGCAGACAAAAUUGGAAGCAAGAGUGAUUUUGGAGGAGUCACACUUAGAUGUUUCCCUUACCUAUUUCUGUUCUGGAAAUUUAAAAAUCUUACUUCUCGUGACAGUCCUACAUGAAAAAUUAAAAAUCACAAGGAUUCAUGGAUGGAAAAC
ensembl:lncRNA LINC02028 long intergenic non-protein coding RNA 2028